CGUUUCUCUGUUCCGCUGGGACAUGUUGCCAACUAUGAGAGAUUGCCAUACGGAAUCCGCAGAUAGCGACAUUGUCGAGAGAGACACUGCGGUCUCUUGCUGAUUGCGCAAUUGGAGUUGCUUCAAGUCCCCCAAGUGUCUCCGAUAAUUGUAGCGAAGAGUUCUCGGCGAGGAUCUCAUUGUUACGCAAGUUAUUUUUACGUAUAGAUUUUAUUUCUCAAUCAAAGCACCUAAACAUUUGCAGCAGCCAAUCAACUAAUAAUUAUCAAGAGAACUUAAAACAAGAAGAUGGAUUUCAUUUGUAUCAUCAAAAGUAAAAAGCACAAAUAUGAUGUUUUGAGAAGUCAAUUAAACCAUAAGUUUUUGAAUUAAAUCAUCACAGUUACAUGUAAAUUAUCGCGAAAGAACGUAAAAAUCAAAUAGCAAAAGAAGAAAGUAAACAACACAAUCAUCAAAGAGUUACAUAAUAUAUUCUUACUACCUUCGUUAAACGCUGAUUACUAAAUGCGGAAGAAGUACAAGAAGAUCACGACACGAAUUUAAACGGAGUAAUCAUGCGAAACCGACCAUCUACAUAUCAAAGAAACAA